ACAGGCAAUCACGCAGAGCUCGCAGAGGCAGUAACAAGUAAAAAGCAGAUGCAGUUGUCUUCAGCUUCUGCAAGGGAGAGAGUCCUAGAAGCUCAUGUGAUUUCUAUUGAAAAUAGGAUUGAGAAACUAGUUGUCGAGUUGCAGAUACAAAAGAUGAAAAAUACCAAGGUCUGUAUCUAUUACUGGUGAUUACUCUCAUUUUCCUUUAUUUGCUAAUUCGAAGCCUGUGUAGCCUAAGCACAUAGAUGACUAUCAAAUGCCAUAAAGGGUAAGAACUCCUAGAUACAAAAGAUGAAAAAUACGAAUAGAAGAUCAAAACAACAAAAUAAAAAGCAUUUUCGCAUCAUGGAUUUCAGUGCAGGGCAAGAGAAGACAUUCCAAUUUUUGCAAGUUAUCAAAUAUGCGCACAGACUUUCCAACUUAUAGGGCAACUAAUGUGUAACUUUGCAUUCAUGUAUACCCAAAAGCAAUUAAACAAGAAAAUGAUAUUCCAAUUUCAGACCCAGCUUUCAUAACCAAGUCGAUUACCUCUAAUAAUAAUGGGCAAGUAAAGCAAAAACACAAUACAGAUAGAAAAUGGGAAAAGCAAGGAAAAAGGGAUACUGAGUCAAUAACGUUGAGAGCUUCAUGAGAGGCCGCACUUCUGGCAUUCCAUGAACAGCAUAUGUCUUCCCUUCCUCGGUGAGCAACCAUGUC